rnacentral:rRNA from 1 species
CCUGGUUGACCCUGCCAGUAGCAUAUGCUUGUCUUAAAGAUUAAGCCAUGCACAUGUAAGUAACACACGGCCAGUAAAGUAAAGCUGCGAAUGGCUCAUCAAAUCAGUUAUGGUUCCUUUGAUCGCUCCAUCUGCCACUUGUAUAACUGUGGUACUUCUAGAGCUAAUACAGGCUUAGGAGUGCUGACCGCCCGGGGUGCAUUCAUUCAUCAGACCAAGACCAAUCCAGGCUCGCCCAGCUGCUUUGGUGACUCUAGAUGACCUUGGCCCAUCGCACGGCCCUGUGACGUGCCGAAGCAUUAGGGUGGCUGCCCUAUCAACUUUUGAUGGUACUUUCUGUGCCUACCAUGGUGACCACGGGUAACUGGGAAUCAGGGUUAGAUCCCAGAGAUGGAGCUUGAGAAACUGCUAUUACAUCCAAGGAAGGCAGCAGGCAUGGAAAUCACCAACUCCCGACUCGGAGAGGUAGUGAUAAAAAAUGUUCAAUAAAGGACUCUUUCGAGGCCCAGUUGUUGGAAUUAGAGUACUUUAAUUCUUUUGACGAGGAUCCAUUGGAGGGCAAGUCCGGUGCCAGCAGCCGCAGCAAUUCCAGCACCUAUAAAGUAUGUCAAAGUUGCUGAAGUGAAAAAGCUUGUAAUUGGAUCUUGGGAUAGAUUUGGUGGUCUGCUGCGAGGCAAGCUACCACAUGUCCCACAUCCUGCCUCUUGGUGCCCCUUUGAUGCUCUUGAGUGAGUGUCCUAAGGGUUCAAAGCAUUAACUUUGAACAAAUGAGAGUAUUCAAAGUAGGACAGUCACCUGAAUACAUCAGCUAGGUGUAAAAGAAUAGGAUUCUGGUUCUAUUUUGUUGGUUUUUGAAACUAUGGCCAUGAUGGUGAGGGACGGCCGGGGGCAUUCGUAUUGUGCCACUAGAGGUGAAAUUCUUGGACCGGCGUAAAUUGAACCAAAGCAAGUUGUUACCAUGACACGCCGAGCAGCAUCCAGUAAACAAAGUCUUUGGGUUCCAGGGGGGAGUAUGGUCGCAAAGCUGGAACAUAAAGGAAUUGAUGGAAGGGCACCACCAGGAGUUGAGCCGUCACCUUAAUUUGACUCAACACAGAAAAUCUCACCCAGGUCAAACACUGAAAGGAUUGACAGAUGGAUAGCUGUUUCUCAUUCUGUGAGUGGUGGUGCAAGACCAUUUUUCGUUGAUGGAGCAAUUUGUCUGGUUACUCAAGACAAGAAAUGAGACUCCUCCAUUCUAACUGAUUACGCGACCCCCAGCGGGCUGCGUUCAACUUCUUAGAGGGACAAAUGGCAUUCAGCCACACAAGACCGAGCAAUAACAGGUCUGUGAUGUCCUUUGAUGUCCGGAGCUGCACGGGUGCUACGCAGAACGAUCUACCCCAUUCGUGAUAGGGAUUGGGGACCGCAACUAUGUUCAAUGAAGGAGGAAUUCCUAGUAGGUGUAGGUCAUGAGCUGGGAUCAGCAACAGCCCUGGCAGAGCACCAAGUAGACAAUCAAAAUUGACUAUCUUGAGGAAGUAAAAGUUGUAACAAGGUUUCUGUAGGUGAACCUGUGAACA